GUGUUCACUUCAGCAGCAUAUAUACUAAAAUUGGAAUGAUACAGAAAAUAUUAGCAUGACCCCUGCGCAUGGACAGCACACUAAUUCAUAAACUGUUCAAUAUUUUU
ensembl:snRNA U6 U6 spliceosomal RNA